AGCAUGCUAGUCGCACGAGUUCAGACUCGUGGCGUAUAGCUCAGUAACACGUGGCCGAACUACCCUAUAGACCACAAUAACCUCGGGAAACUGAGGCUAAUGGUGGAUAUUGCACUCACGCUUGAAUGCCGAGUGCGAGAAAUGCCCCGGCGCUAUAGGAUGUGGCUGCGGCCGAUUAGGUAGACGGUGGGGUAACGGCCCACCGUGCCAGUAAUCGGUACGGGUGGUGACAGCCAGAACCCGGAGACGGUAUCUGAGACAAGAUACCGGGCCCUACGGGGCGCAGCAGGCGCGAAACCUUUACACUGCACGACAGUGCGAUAGGGGGACUCCGAGUGCGAGGGCAUACUAGCCCUCGCUUUUCUCGACCGUAAGGUGGUCGAAGAAUAAGGACUGGGCAAGACCGGUGCCAGCCGCCGCGGUAAUACCGGCAGUCCGAGUGAUGGCCGCUAUUAUUGGGCCUAAAGCGUCCGUAGCUUGCCGUGCAAGUCUAUCGGGAAAUCGACGUGCUCAACACGUCGGCUUCCGGUGGAAACUGCUCGGCUUGGGGCCGGAAGACUCAGCGGGUACGUCUGGGGUAGGAGUGAAAUCCUGUAAUCCUAGACGGACCACCAAUGGCGAAAGCACGCUGAGAAGCCGGACCCGACAGUGAGGGACGAAAGCCAGGGUCUCGAACCGGAUUAGAUACCCGGGUAGUCCUGGCCGUAAACAAUGCUCGUUAGGUCUGCCGUGCACUACGAGUGCACGGUGAGCCGAAGUGAAGACGAUAAACGAGCCGCCUGGGAAGUACGUCCGCAAGGAUGAACUUAA
rnacentral:rRNA from 1 species